rnacentral:lncRNA from 1 species
GGAGUUUUAAGUGAAGCAACAAUACAAAGCCUCAGUGAGUAAGUACAGAGUAGACACAAUAACAGGAGGACGGUACAAUGUAUAGUAAACUGGCAAGACCACAGCGUGCAGCCUGAUAUAUUACCAUAGAGAUGCCACAGAAAUAAAACAUUAGCCUCACAAAGUAAAGCAAUGGGUUGGGAUUGGACUGGAUGGGAUGGGAUUGCUGAAGAGGAAGGAGGAGACGAACAGGAAUAAACACAGAGAUGAAAAGUGGGCCGGAGUGAAAGCCGAAUGAACCAAGAUACGGGGGGUGAGCGUGCAGGAGAGAAUGCCUGGACCGUCACAGAUGCCAGCCAAG